rnacentral:rRNA from 1 species
GACGAACGCUGGCGGCGUGCUUAACACAUGCAAGUCGAACGAAGAGCGAUGAAGCUUGCUUCUAUCAAUCUUAGUGGCGAACGGGUGAGUAACGCGUAAUCAACCUGCCCUUCAGAGGGGGACAACAGUUGGAAACGACUGCUAAUACCGCAUACGAUCUAAUCUCGGCAUCGAGGAUAGAUGAAAGGUGGCCUCUACAUGUAAGCUAUCACUGAAGGAGGGGAUUGCGUCUGAUUAGCUAGUUGGAGGGGUAACGGCCCACCAAGGCGAUGAUCAGUAGCCGGUCUGAGAGGAUGAACGGCCACAUUGGGACUGAGACACGGCCCAGACUCCUACGGGAGGCAGCAGUGGGGAAUCUUCCGCAAUGGACGAAAGUCUGACGGAGCAACGCCGCGUGAGUGAUGACGGCCUUCGGGUUGUAAAGCUCUGUUAAUCGGGACGAAAGGCCUUCUUGCGAAUAGUGAGAAGGAUUGACGGUACCGGAAUAGAAAGCCACGG